GGCGAACGCUGGCGGCGCGCUUAACACAUGCAAGUCGAGCGAUGAAAUUUCGACAGAUCCCUUCGGGGUGAAGAUGAAAUGGAUUAGCGGCGGACGGGUGAGUAACACGUGAGUAACCUGCCUUUGACAUUGGGAUAGCCUCGGGAAACUGGGAUUAAUACCAAAUGACACUAACUGAUCACAUGAUCAAUUAGUCAAAGAAAUUCGGUCAAAGAUGGACUCGCGGCUGAUUAGCUAGGUGGUGAGGUAACGGCCCACCAAGGCGACGAUCAGUAGCCGGCCUGAGAGGGUGAUCGGCCACAUUGGAACUGAGACACGGUCCAAACUCCUACGGGAGGCAGCAGUGGGGAAUAUUGCACAAUGGGGGAAACCCUGAUGCAGCGACGCCGCGUGAGCGAAGAAGGCCUUCGGGUCGUAAAGCUCUUUUAUGAGGGAAGAUAAUGACGGUACCUCAAGAAAAAGCCCCGGCUAACUACGUG
rnacentral:rRNA from 1 species